rnacentral:rRNA from 1 species
GACGAACGCUGGCGGCGUGCCUAAUACAUGCAAGUCGAGCGAAUGGAUUGAGAGCUUGCUCUUAUGAAGUUAGCGGCGGACGGGUGAGUAACACGUGGGUAACCUGCCCAUAAGACUGGGAUAACUCCGGGAAACCGGGGCUAAUACCGGAUAACAUUUUGAACCGCAUGGUUCGAAAUUGAAAGGCGGCUUCGGCUGUCACUUAUGGAUGGACCCGCGUCGCAUUAGCUAGUUGGUGGGGUAACGGCUCACCAAGGCAACGAUGCGUAGCCGACCUGAGAGGGUGCUCGGCCACACUGGGACUGAGACACGGCCCAGACUCCUACGGGAGGCAGCAGUAGGGAAUCUUCCGCAAUGGACGAAAGGCUGACGGAGCAACGCCGCGUGAGUGAUGAAGGCUUUCGGGUCGUAAAACUCUGUUGUUAGGGAAGAACAAGUGCUAGUUGAAUAAGCUGGCACCUUGACGGUACCUAACCAGAAAGCCACGGCUAACUACGUGCCAGCCGCCGCCGUAA